CCUACGGGAGGCUGCAGUCGGGAAUUUUGGGCAAUGGGGGCAACCCUGACCCAGCAACGCCGCGUGAGCGAUGAAGGCCUUCGGGUCGUAAAGCUCUGUCGGGAGGGAAGAAGGUCCUCGGGGUGAACAAUCCCGGGGGCUUGACGGUACCUCCAAAGGAAGCGCCGGCUAACUCCGUGCCAGCAGCCGCGGUAAUACGGAGGGCGCAAGGCGUGUUGGGGGUCUCGGGGCGCAGGUCUGAAGUAGGCGGGCCUAACCCCGGAACUGCACUCGAAACUGCCUCGCUCGAGUCCCGGAGAGGAUGGUGGAAUUCCCGGUGUAGUGGUGAAAUACGUAGAUAUCGGGAGGAACACCAGCGGCGAAGGCGGCCAUCUGGACGGUGACUGACGCUGAGACGCGAAAGCGUGGGGAGCAAACAGGAUUAGAUACCCCAGUAGUC
rnacentral:rRNA from 1 species